GAAACGCGAUAAGUAGUGUGAAUUGCGGAAUUCAGUGAAUCAUCGAAGCUUUGAACGCACGUGGCGCCUUCGUGUAUCCUGGGAGGCGUGCCUGUGCGAGCGUCGUUUCAACCCUCGAGCCCACGUGGCCCGGCGUUGGGGAUCUGCCCAGGGAGGCCCCGAAAACCAGUGGCGGACCCGUUACAGGCCCUUCCUUUGCGUAGUAAUACUGCCUCGCAUCGGGAGCCGGCGGGCUUCCAGCCUCUAAACCCCCACCAAGUCCGCCUCGGCGGCACCAAGGUUGACCUCGGAUCAGGUAGGAAUACCCGCUGAACUUAA
rnacentral:misc_RNA from 1 species